GGUAAAGCGAAUGAUUAGAAGCUCUGGGGAUGAAACAUCCUCGACUUAUUCUCAAACUUUAAAUAGGUAAGAAGAUUGCAGUACUUAAUUGACUGUCAGUCUCUUGAAUAGUAAGUUCUUAGUGGGCCAUUUUUGGUAAGCAGAACUGGCGAUGUGGGAUGAACCAAACGUAAAGUUAAAGUGCCUAAAAAUACGUUCAUCAGAUACCACAAAAGGUGUUGAUUCAUCUUGACAGUUGGACAGUGGCCAUGGAAGUUCGGAAUCUGCUAAGGAGUGUGUAACAACUCACCAACCGAAUGAAUUAGCCCUGAAAAUGGAUGGCGCUUAAACGUAUUACUUAUACUUUACCAUUAAAAUAAAUUGCUAAACUUUAAUGAGUAGGAGGGCGUAUGGAUAAUUUAGAAGACUGAUAGUAAUAUUGGUUGGAUUAUCUUUAGUGCUAGAUCUUGGUGGUAGUAGC
rnacentral:rRNA from 1 species